rnacentral:rRNA from 1 species
AAAUGAAUAGACGGGGGCCCGCACAAGCGGUGGAGCAUGUGGGUCAAUUGGAUGCUACGCCAAGAACCUUACCAGGGUUUGACAUGAUGGCGACCGCGUGAGAGAUCACGUUUCUCCCGGAAGGGAGCGCCAUCACAGGUGGUGCAUGGCUGUCGUCAGCUCGUGUCGUGAGAUGUUGGGUUAAGUCCCGCAACGAGCGCAACCCUCACCGGAUGUUGCCAUCGGUCCGGCCGGGCACUCUUCCGGAACUGCCUGAGCAAUCAGGAGGAAGGUGAGGAUGACGUCAAGUCCGCAUGCCCCUUAUGCCCUGGGCUGCACACGUGCUACAAUGGCCGGUACAAAGGGCUGCAAAGCCGCGAGGUGGAGCGAAUCCCCCAAAACCGGUCCCAGUUCGGAUUGGAUGUCUGCAACUCGACUCCAUGAAGCUGGAAUCGCUAGUAAUCGCGGAUCAGCAACGCCGCGGUGAAUACGUUCUCGGGCCUUGUACACACCGCCCGU